GUCGUGCUUGAGGGUGAGCCUUUU
rnacentral:miRNA from 1 species